GAAGGGAUUGAUUUCUGUACAAUGGAAAAUUAGAAUCCAUCCCAACUACUGGAAGAGGAGAUUUCUUUCCCAGAGACUACUGUGGUCAAUAAUUAUCAUGUGAAGAGAGAGCCAAUGAUGACGAAGAUGGAAAAUAAGUGAGAGGAUGAGGAGAAGAUGGAGUUUUCGUUAAAAUCAAGUCAUCAUUAGCCAUUCACUCAAAAUUCAGUGAAUAUCAGGGGUAUCUACCUUCUUAUUAUUGAACCUUUCAACAAAUGAAGUGUGUAGUUAGUUACUAAUCCCCCUAUCAUAGCUGUGUGGAUGUAGCUGAUUCCUCUGCUUCAUUCAGCAGUGCCUCCAUUGCUAAUAAACUACAGAUGCAUACAAUAUCAUUUCAAAUUGCUGAAGAGGACAGUGUGACUUCCUAUUGGAUAGAUAUACUUAUGUUGAUCACUUACGUUGAAGUGUGUCUCUCAUUGGUUGGACCAAUCUUAAAUCCUAGCAUUGCUGAUAGUCAGAUAAGAAAGAAAGAUUCCAGCAAGUUCACAUUCAGCUAUGUGGCUCUGUGCUAAUCAUUGGAAUUAGUAAAACAUCAGUGAGGCCACUUUGUAUAAGCAUAGGAGCUCUUAUACAUUACUUGUUAACUGGAUGUGGAUAGGAACAGAAGUUGUGCUGAUUUUUCAAAAAAUUGUAAUAGUGUUUAUAAACUUAACUUGGCGAUAU